rnacentral:rRNA from 1 species
GACAGGGGAUGCAAGCGUUAUCCGGAAUGAUUGGGCGUAAAGCGUCUGUAGGUGGCUUUUUAAGUCUGCCGUCAAAUCCCAGGGCUCAACCCUGGCCAGGCGGUGGAGACUACUAAGCUGGAGUACGGUAGGGGCAGAGGGAAUUUCCGGUGGAGCGGUGAAAUGCGUAGAUAUCGGAAAGAACACCAAGGGCGAAGGCAGCUUACUAUGGUAUGAUUGACGCUGAGGCACGAAAGCGUGGGGAUCAAACAGG